rnacentral:lncRNA from 1 species
GCCCCCCUCUGAGCAGAUGAGGAUCACGGAUCAGAGCCCCAACUUCAGAGCUCCUUAUGGUCGAGAAGAAACUAGUCAGCAGCAAUUCCAGUCCUUUGGCUCCGGGCGAAACCGAGCAAGACCCAGCCUCGUGUCGUCGGGGAGGAACCAACGCAGGCCCCGCCCCAACCAUUGUCUCGGGGAAGCCAAUGGGCGAAACGCUCGUAACUAACCAAUCAGGACGCGGUAUGCAAAUAGACACGCGAGAGCAGUCCUCUACGGUGGUGUAGAACUGAAGAGAGAGGAGGCAAGCAGCGGGCCUGGCUACUUGCACCAUGGCCCGCUGCCGCCACCACUCGGGAUACCUGGCGGAUGACGAGGCUGGCCACAGCACGUACAUGGCGCGGGUACCACCACCCAAGAAGCCACUGUUGCCAGAAAUGGGACCAGCCUUCAAGCUGGGUCGUGUGCCACACCCCCCAUCAGUGGAUGGCAAUUCAGCACACCGGGGCCGCUGCCAAACCCCGAAGAGACCUCAGCCUUUUGGCGGCUUCCUAGAUUUCCUGACAGAGGGCCAAGUACUGGACAGUCUGCAGACAGUGGUGGAAGAAGCAACUGAACGCAUAGCCACCAUGAAGACAGAGGCUGGGGUGCCGCUGGUGGAGGUGCAGGACUCUGUAGAAGUGCCAAGUGGAAAGCGGCAGAACUCCAGCGCAAAGAAGCUGCCACCUUCCGCCUCAUCCAAGUCCAGUGUGUCCCACCUGUCCAACCCCUGUUUUGAGGAGAUCAUCAACUUCUUAGUGGAGCAGGCAGUGUCCUUGCUCACUCUCAAGUACAAGUAUGAGAGCAACCUCAAUAAGCAGCUUGGCUUCAUCUCCUUCCCUGUCACCGAGGCUCUCAUGGACCUCUUCCUGGGCUUCAAGAAGGUGAAGGGCUCCCGCAUAGUUCUGUCCUCGGAGAUGGACUGGAGCUGCCUGCUGCGUAAGCUGCAGGAGGCCGAGAAGGCUCUGCAGGUCUCAAAGCAGGCCACCCAGGCGCACGGCUCCCAGGGCAGCAGCAGCUCCUCGAAGGCUGGCUCCCACCGGGUUCCCACCUCCCUGCAGGGAGUCUCCCAGCACAGCACAAAGUCUCCAUCCACUGAGCCUAUGCCAGCGACCAGAAGCAACCAGGAACAGGCCGCAGAGCGUGGCCUCUCUCUCACUGCUGACACACCAACCCACCAGCUGCUCAGCCCUUGGGAGUCAAUUACAGCCGAGAAUCAGGCCCCCAAAAGCCUGUCACAGCCCACGCCCUUCAUGUCCUCUGACCCGGACAUGGGCUCCAAUCUCCCCAAGUCCAACAAGAUGAUGAACACUGAGGACAAAGAGAGUAAUGCUGUGGCUGAGGACAAGGGUAGCAAGGAGGACAAAGCUGGGGGCAUGGAUUCCUACAAGGAUGAGAGGAAUCACCAGGACCACUUGGAGCCUGGACAGGAGGCCAUGAGCAGACCCUCUGUGGACCAGGGCCAUAGUGAUCCCCCAUGA